UGCUCGGUAGUAUAGUGGUUAGUAUCCACGCUUGUCACGCGGAAAGCCGUAGUUCGAUUCCCCGCUGGAGAG